rnacentral:rRNA from 1 species
UAACAUCGGAACGUGCCUGUAGUGGGGGAUAACUAGUCGAAAGAUUAGCUAAUACCGCAUACGACCUGAGGGUGAAAGUGGGGGACCGGCAAGGCCUCAUGCUAUAGGAGCGGCCGAUGUCUGAUUAGCUAGUUGGUGAGGUAAAGGGCUCACCAAGGCGACGAUCAGUAGCUGGUCUGAGAGGACGAUCAGCCACACUGGGACUGAGACACGGCCCAG